AUAACACAGGAAAUUUGUUUACUUGGUUCUUGCCUUUAAAAGGUUGCUUUGAGCUAGAGCAUUUGAAAACCAAUUUUACAUUUGUGAAUCUUUCACUUAUUUGGUAAACUUGUUUCUCCUGAAAAUUUUCAUCUUGUGAUCUCAUGUAACUUAUCCUAUGAUCGUUAUUAUUGGAUACUUGUACUUUCACUUAAAUUUUGGGAUUAAACUAGUUUUGGUUUGUUUUGCUAGUUCUUCAAGCAAUAUUUGCCAGUGAAACAAUCCAAGAUAUUAUUCCUUUGGCUUCAAAUGCAAUUUUGAUUCUUGGGCAAGGAAGCUUAUUUGCAUAUACAAUUUCCUGAAGGUGCUUGGUGGUUGCCUCUCUAUUGCAUUUUACAAACUUAGCAGUUUAUUUUGAAGGGCAUAUCCAGGACAAUUUAGUUUGAUUUGUGCCAGUUGAGGGGAUUCGGGGAUCUGAAGUGUAUGUUACGGAAUUGGUUGCGUUUGAUUUUCUGAUUCCCAUGGUUCUGUUUGUCAUCAUUUCAUAUGCCAUGAGCUGAGGUUGCCUCCAAGGACACCGAGCUCUUGCAGGUAUGUGGGGGUCUUGCACUCAUAAUAUCUUUCUUCAGAGGUUAAAUAUUGACCCAUUGAAUAAAAUGAGUCUUCUUACUUUCUGAAUGAAUAGCAUAUAAAAUAGGCGCACACAAUGAGAUUUCCUCAUCAUGUUUGGAAAAGAAAAAGGGAAGGGAUUUGUACUAAUUCACAGAAAAAACCUGCAAGCGUUUUUAUAUUAAAAGAACUUAAAAUCCUCUAUGGUGGGAUGUAGUCCUUGGAGAUAAUUUCAUUCUUGUAUUCCAUAAGAAAUG